AUGGCAAUUGUACACACAUACGGGAAGCUUGACGUUUUCUUGACGAUGACCUGCAACCCUAACUGGGAAGAGAUAACAAAUGAGUUGUUUCCUGGUCAAACAGCGCAAGACCGCCCUGAUCUUGUGGCUCGCGUGUUCCAUGGCAAGCUAGAGGCUAUGAAAGAGAUGUUGUUCAAGAAGCACAUACUGGGUGUUGUUGUCGUAUAUGUAUACGUAGUCGAGUUUCAGAAGAGGGGCCUCCCCCACGCACACUUUCUGUUGAUCAUGGAUUCAACAUAUAAGCUGGUUGUUCCUGAGCAGUACGACCGACUCAUUUCCGCCGAGCUCCCAGACAAGCAGAAGUAUCCACAACUCUACGCAUUAGUAGUCAAACAUAUGAUGCACGGACCGUGCGGUGCUCUCAACCCAAAAAAUGUGUGCAUGCAACAAAACGAGUGCAAGUGCAGAUACCCGCGGCCGUUCAAUGAAAACACGGCACAAGGCAAGGACUCAUACCAAGUUUAUCGGCGUAGAGACGUGAUACGUCCAUUUUGCAUCAUGCUUUUAUAUCGAUAUUUAUCGCAUUAUGGACUGUUAUUUCACUUUAUAUCACAAUACUUAUGGCUAUUCUCUCUUAUUUUACAAGGUUUACAUAAGGAGGGAGAAUGCUGGCAGCUGCAAUUCUGGGCUGGAAAGGGAGCAAAUAUUAGAGACCUAUUCUGCGCAACUCCAAAAGUCCUAAAACUCCACGGAACGUCUUAA
rnacentral:rRNA from 1 species